rnacentral:misc_RNA from 1 species
UACGAAGGUCCCAAGCGUUGUUCGGAUUUACUGGGCGUAAAGCGUCUGUAGGCGGCGCGGUAAGUCAGAUGUGAAAUCCCGGGGCUCAACCCCGGAACUGCAUCCGAUACUGCCGUGCUUGAGGGUCGGAGGGGAGUCUGGAAUUCUCGGUGUAGCAGUGAAAUGCGUAGAUAUCGAGAGGAACACUAGUGGCGAAGGCGAGACUCUGGACGACACCUGACGCUGAGAGACGAAGGCCAGGGUAGCGAAAAGG